rnacentral:rRNA from 1 species
CCGAUUUUUCGGGCUUCGGCUCGAUCUCCCACCCUUUGUGAACGUACCUCUGUUGCUUUGGCGGCUCCGGCCGCCAAAGGACCUCCAAACUCCAGUCAGUAAACGCAGACGUCUGAUAAACAAGUUAAUAAACUAAAACUUUCAACAACGGAUCUCUUGGUUCUGGCAUCGAUGAAGAACGCAGCGAAAUGCGAUAAGUAAUGUGAAUUGCAGAAUUCAGUGAAUCAUCGAAUCUUUGAACGCACAUUGCGCCCCUUGGUAUUCCGGGGGGCAUGCCUGUUCGAGCGUCAUUACAACCCUCAAGCUCUGCUUGGAAUUGGGCACCGUCCUCACUGCGGACGCGCCUCAAAGACCUCGGCGGUGGCUGUUCAGCCCUCAAGCGUAGUAGAAUACACCUCGCUUUGAAGUGGUUGGCGUCGCCCGCCGGACGAACCUUCUGAACUUUUCUCAAGGUUGACCUCGGAUCAGGUAGGGAUACCCGCUGAACUUAAGCAUAUCAAUAAGCCGGAGG